AAAAGAAAGGAAAAUGAAUGAGAAGGAAGAAGAAGAAGAAUGGAUGAAGUGAAAAAUUCAUCUUUACAAAUUGUUUUAGCCAACAAUUCACUCUCGAUCUCGUCUUCUUUUUCUCUCUCUCUCUCUCUCUUUCUUGG